UUUUUAUUUUAAAGUGCUCAAUGAGUUUUUUAAACACUUGAACCAAAUAAUGAGAAUUCAUCGGUAUGGAGUUCAUGGAGAACUCGUGCUCCACAACUCCCUGACAGGAGAGUGCAGCCAAAUGGUGGUCGGGAUCUCACAGGGAAAAGGGGAUAGGGUGAGCGGAAAGGGCCUCAAACUGUGCCAGGUGACAGUCAGGUUGGACACUGGGAGGAAAUUUUUCAUGGAAGGGGCUGCCCAGGGAAGUUUGGAGUCCCCAUCCCUGGAGGUGUCCCAGGAAGGCCUGGAUGUGGCACUCAGUGCUCUGGGCUGGGGACACAGUGGGGAUCAGGCACAGCUUGGAUCUGAUGACCUGGAGGGCUUUUCCAGCCUUAAUGAUUUUAUGGUUCUGUGACUCCCUCACCCUAGGCAAGCCCUAAGGAUCUUUGUGAGAACAGAAGAUGAAGUGAACUUCAGAGCCCCCAGCCUGGGGGCCCCAUCUGCAUUGAGGGAAUUAGCAAAUACCUGGAUGCUCAGGUGAGCUUUGUAGUUCUGAGCACUCUCAGCUUCGCAUAAAACUGUUCUCUUAAGGGGAAGUGUAUCUAGGAGAAAGUUGUCAUCCCUUUGGUUUGGGGAAGGCAGAGAAGGGAUGGUUUGGGGAAGGUAGAGAAGGGAUGGUUUGGGGAAGGUAGAGAAGGGAUGGUUUGGGGAAGGCAGAACAGGAAUGUUGUACGUGUGCUGCUGCUGCCUGUGCAGGAGCCCUGUGACUGCAGCAGCUCUGGGCUGAUGGAGGAAGCAUCUGGUGCUGGCCAGUUCCACCCUACAGCUCACCCAUAAUGUGUUGGGUUGGUCAUGUUGACGAUGGAGGUGAUAAAAUAGGGAUUCUCCCCUGGAUUCCUCUGGGUGAGGGUGAUUUUGUCAUAGAGUCACAUGUAAGCAUCUGUGGGCAAAAUGAGUAGGAGAAACAUCCUCUAAAGCUGGCAGCAUCCAGCCCUCAGCAGAGAGGCUGGGCUCUCUAAAACUGAUCCUAGAAAGCCCAUUUUUAAAUCUGAAUGCAUUCUUUUAAGGGGAAAAAUACUAAAAAGGAAAGGGAGUUGAGGAAAGCCAGAAACAAAAGUGUGUGUCUUGGAACUUGAGUCUGUGGAAAAAUAAAGGGAAAGGAAGAAAGAAAUAAAUUACUCUGAAGAGGUACAGAUGGAAGCAUUGACACAAGUGUGCUUUGGUUUCAGUAGGGCUGUAAUUUGAGCAAAGAACAGAGCUGGGAAAGUUGGACUAACCCUGAAGUUUAGAAGAGCAGCACCUUCCUGUGACUGCUUAUUCUUAUUGUCAAAGUGGACCCAAGACAAGCUGACUUUCCUCAGCUGACUUCCCUCCCAAACAGUGCUGGAAUUGAGUUUUUCUGGCUGUGCAUAAUUUCUCUUUUUUGGCUCUUUGUAUGAUACUUUAAUUUCCUUUCUUUCCCUGGAGAGGGAAACAGUGAAAAACUGAAAUACAAUACAGCUCUUAGCUGAACUGAUGAUCCCGACAUGGAUUGUAAUGAUUCAAGCAGUAGCAAUUAAUUUUAUACAAUUGACCCAUUUAGUUAAUUAUUCAGAGCAAAAUUAGAACAUGACUUUACUGUCUGUUCAGUGACACAAUCUCCCAGUUACCAGCCAGAGCUUUGUACGUGCUCAGAUGUGAAAUCGCAGCCUUGGCCACCGGGAAGAUUCGAGCUGGAGCAGGCUGAGCACCUGAGUCAGCAGUGCUUUGGGGGCUGAUGUGCUAAAUACAGACAAAACCAAGUGCAGUGGGUUUGCUCUCCACGUGGAACUGUGUUUGCCCCAGUGGGUUUGCUCUCCACGUGGAACUGUGUGUUUGCCCCACUGCACCCAGGCAGGGGCAGGAGCUGCCGGCACUGUCCCUGGCAUGCCCAGCACGAUCCAUCCUGGAUCCCGUACAUGGCUCUGCCUUUCUUGGUGUCGUGGCCUGGGCUCAGCUCUCAGCUGGUGCUUCCCAGUGACACAGGUGUCCUCACAUCCAAAAAUCCUGCUGGACAUCUCAGGAGGGAAGGGAUAGGUGUAAGUCAUGAAAGAAGUGCUUUAAUCCUGGUUUUCUGCAUGUGGCACUGCAGUUCAUCCCCUUGCUGCUGGGAAUCAGCCUUUAACAGGGGAAAACCACCCUCCUUUUGUGUCAGCAUGCAGGACAGGCUCAGCGUGCUCAACAGGCCCCACUCUCCUCAGCUGCAUUUCCUACCACAAUCAUGAAACUUGGCGAUGGGUCCCGAAAGAACUGAAAGAAAGAACUCUGUCACUUCUCACUGGAGACUUUCUUUCAUCUCUUGGGAGGCUCCUCUAAAGCAGGCAGUGGCUAAAACAAAAAACAAGUUCUGGUGCCUUCUUGGUGCUCUGUUAAAUCCAUUGCACUGAAGAAACUCAAUUUUAUAAUGAAUUGAAGUGAUCCCUCACAUCCCCUCAAGCAGUGGGUGCCAGAGGAGUGCCUGGCUGAGCUGGAGCUCCUCAUCCACUUGCACAUCUAAGUGUCCAUGAGAUUAGAAACUCAGCCCUUCUCCCUCAUGCAAACCUUGAGCCCUUUGGAAAAUACAUUAUUUUCAAAUACAGACUAGGAAAUAAUAAAACAUCCUCCCACCCCAAGUUGCUCCUCUUCUUUUUCAUUUUGAAGGGGAUGCUCAGUUGUGGACCCUCGGAGCCCUGUGCUGGGCUUUAGAGCAGUUCACUGAAAUUAACCAUUUAUGGUUGGAUUCAAAAGAGGAUACUUUGAUUACUGAGACAAUGAGGAGAAUGCUGAACCCUUAUCACUGUUGAUUGGACCAGGAAUUGAGAGGGAAUUAUUCGACCAGCUUUGGUCUUGAAAAGGAUCUGCUUCUCCAGGAGCUUUUUGAUCAGAGGAAGGCGAUGGUGGGUCCUGUGUGGCUCAGCUUGUAUAUUAAGGUGGUUUUAACAGAUGUGAUAAUUGCAGAAUUGAGUAGAUUUUAUGCUUCCUAGGGAUCUUAACUUGGAAUCAUUAAGAUGGCCAAUAUUGCUGGAAAUCAACCACAGCUUAUAAAUACUGGUGUAGAAAAGGGGAAUUUGGUAUUUGCCUCAGAAAUCUUGAGGAUGAUUAAUCAACCACUGGUAACCAGCACGUGGCACAAAUGGAAUUAACCCUGGAUUUUGAACAAGCUAUUCAGUGAUGCUGGAAUGCCAACAUCUGUACAUCAGCACAUCUACUACAGCCUUGAGAGGGGCAAGACUUCACAGGUUUGGGGUGAGAUCAUGGUUGGAGAGAAUGAAUUUAGUUUAUAUUUAGCCAUCAGAGAGUCUUGUCUAAACGGGGCUGGUACCACACAUCAUGAACAUCUGUCAGUGUGGGGUGACUCACCUGGGAGCACAUCCAUCCCUCAUCUACAGCGCAGGGAUGGAGCCUGGCUGACCAAACUGCUGAACUUUGGCACUGAUAAGGUUUGGGGAGCUGACUCACACCCACAGCAUUUGCUGAGUGCAUUUCCUCCGCACGUUUGGUAUCCCCAGGUGCCACUUCUGCUGCCAGGGAGCUGCUCUGAGGUCUCUGCAAAGCCUCUCUCAGCCAGUGGUUACAGAGCUCUUUCAUUGAUUUAAGGCAGCCUGGAAUAACUAAACUUGGCUCCCUGGAACAAAAACAUCUGUUUUGACCAGGGCUUGAACCUCUCCUCUUUCUCCCUGCAGAAAUCCCUCUCCCUGUCUGUGGGGCUCCUCCAGGCAAGGAGCUCCGUGCUUUUAAUUCCAGACUGGUGGAAGCCCUGUGCUUUUUGCCUCUCUGGCCAGGAGACCUGCAGGGGAGCAGCUGGCUUGGGAUGGAUCUGUUUGAAACUGCAGGAAGAAAGGGGAAAGGGACAGUAGGAAAAGCACAUGUUGAAUAUCUAGGGAGAUGCUGGGAAUGCAUUGCCCAUGCGUUUGGGAAACAGGGACACACAGAGAUUUGUCUCAUUUCACAUGCGGGGUGGAACUCCAGAGUCAGGCUCCACAUCUGACUCCCAAGCCCUUCCUCUUCUGUGGGCUCAGGGUGACUCUGUGGUGGGUUAAAUGAACUCUCUCUUCUCCCUACCACUUAAGCUGAUUUUUAAUUAACUUUCUCAGCAGGAAGCCAGGCUCGAGGCACACAGCUAGCCCAAGGUGCUUUGUCUUUAAUGGUUUCAAGUGCAGACACAUAACUUAGAAUUAACAGCUAAUUAAUGAUUUCCUGCUGCUCUGACCCUUCAUCAUGCCAGCUGUGGCCAGUGGAGAGCGUCCCUCCACCACUCUGGGAUGAUGUACCUGUGGGAUGCUGUAGGGAAGCCCCACAUGCAGCUCAUGCCACCAGCUCAGUCCCAUUCCACGGCUCUGCAUUCCCACAUGUGGAUCACACCUCUGGUAGGUCCCUGGAUGUGUGCUGUAGGUGGAGUCUGCAAUCACAGGCUAGAAAUAGAAAUGGAAUGAGUUUUUAUGGGGAAAAAUAGGAAGUUUCAGAUACUUUUGGUGGGGCUGUGGGAGUGAGGGAAGGGCCUUUUUCAAUCUGACAGGGAUGCAGGGACUGUCUCAUGUGACUUUGCAAACCAUGUGUUCCUCUGGUAGCUGGGAAGCAAAGCCAUUGAAUUACCACCAAAUCAGUAUAUCUGAUUUUAAAGGUUGGUAUAGCGUGGGUUUCUAUAGUGAUUGUAUUUUUAUAGGGUUUUUCCUUUGUUCUCAGACCCCAAAGCUUCUGCACCUGUACAAGAAAAACAGCUUUUUUCCAUAGCCCAGCUCUAGAUCACAUUCAGGCAGCCUCAACAGUUUGAAGUUUUUGUUUUUUUCUUUUCCUUUGUGUGCUUUUUAAAGUCAGGUUGAGUGGGUUGGAUUCCUCUGUCCUGGUAGCUACAGAAAAUAAAAGUAAAAUCUAUUUCUGGAUCUACCCAAAUCAGCUCCUCUUGCACCGGCUUGUUUUGGGCCAUAAUUACAUUUAAGCACUCGCUUUAAAAUUAACCCAAAACCACAAAUAAAGCAGCCUCCAUAACUUCUGCCUUCAGCUGGGGGGAGGGGGUGGGGUUAGAAUCUCCCAAGUAAAACAGAAACUUAAAGUAUAACAGUUUGAAACACUAAAGUGCAUUUCCAGCUCCCAAAUUACCAAUUCUGUGUAUGUUAUUGAGGUACUUAAUUUGAUGAGCAUUGAAAAAUCGCUUCCUCCUUCUGUGUGCUGUAUAUUUCAUGAACUUUUGUGUUUCUUUUGUUUCUUUUGGGGAUGUCAGGGAAAUAUAAAAUAGCAAAUGGUGCAUGACCUCAGUUUUUCUGGGAGAGGAAGUUGAUUUUUCAGAAGAUAUUAUUAGGCUAGCUGGAAAUAUUUAAAGAGAAAAUGCAGAUUUUUUUUUUAAAUCCUCUUCUAAUUAUAUGAAAUAAUUGGAAAUGUCUCAUCUUCCUUGUGUCUGUUUCAGCAUCUUUCUUUCUCCUCUAUCCCCCACCAUUUUACCCCUCAGUUUAAUUGGCAAAAUCACUCUCAGGAAACAGAUGAUGUCAGCACUAUGGUAGAAAAAGAUGGUUUCAUUAAGAAAAACCCCCCAAACUUCUAUUUUGCAACAAGACAAUCCUAAAACUGUUACGUGUGAUAAAAAAAUUCUAGAAGGAGUUGACCUGUAAUUUUCCUCCCUGCUGGUUUUUUAUUAUCACUUUGAAGUUGAAUGAGACUUUAAAUAAUUUGUACAUAAUUUUAUAAUUACUCAUUUCCAGAGCACUGUAAAGUCCCAGGAAGAGGAAAGUAGAGAUACAGCACUGAACAUGCAAAAUUGGGCUUUGAUGUUGGCUUUUGCCAGGGUUUUAGCUGUACUGGAUUGAAGUUAUGCUUGUUGGUAUAAAACAUGAAAUCAUCUAUCAGUACAAAUAUUUUUUGGCCUGGGUUACAUGAAUUCUUGGUCAGAUUUGUAUCCAUCCAGCUUGUUAAAUAAAUACAGGUGAGAAGCUUAAUGCUGCCCUGAGUUACAGAAGGAAAGGUGACAGGUAAAUAAAGGAGGUUAUAGUUCACACUGGUUUGCUGCUUUCCCAUGACAGAUUUGAGGUCAUAUUAAGGAGCAUUUUAGCACCUGCUGGCACUUAGGGUUAUUCCAUAUACGUGUUUUUUAUUCAAACAGAUGAUGAACAUUGAAGCAAAUCUCUCUCUUUCACUUUUCUGAGGGCAGGCAGAUCUUAAUGCUCCAUAAAUUUCAGUGUCUGUGAGUCAGGCAUAGUCAGAUAUGGCAGGAAUGUUACAACUUGCUAAUUAAUUGUUUCAUUAAGAAAAAAAGUUAAUCUUUUGUCGGUUUGUUUCUUUGGGGUUUUCUUCAGAUUUCCUGGGGCUUUUGCAUGUUUUCCUUAGUGUCAGAGUUCUGGGUUAUGUUUUAAUAAGUUUGUAUCUUCUGAGAGGAUUUGAAAAGAAACCACAUCCUGUUUUCUCUUCUUCCUUAUCCAUCAGAAAUACAAGUUGGGCUGUUCCCAGAUGCUUUUUGGAUUCUGCAGAGCUGUUCAAUACAGAUUUCCUAUCGCAGGGCAUGCAGCUGCCUCUUCUCUGAUUUUGGUUUUCAUUCAGCACAAGGCAGUUGUGGAAACAAAUCCUUUUAUCUAGAUCUCCAGAAGUGGCGUGUUCACUUUCAGAUUUGGAAGAAAACCUAGAAAAAUUUUGAAUACAGUAGUUAAAGAAAGAAGGAAGGCAUCCAGGAUGAUCCCAACCAAAGAAAUUCAUAAUGGAGAAGGGAGACAUGAUGAGCUCCCCACACCCAAAAGAAUCCAGGAAAAUAUGUAAUUUCUGAGAGACUCAUGGCUAAAGCAGCCAGUGUUUUGGUGUAAACCCACCUGGUUACUUGCCCUUGGGAGAGGGAGUCACUGGGAAUCCCAAUGACCAGAGCAGGUUUUGGGAAAGCUGUCCAGGCGAUGACUGGGAGGCUGGGAACCAUCCUGCCUUCCAGUCUGACCAGCUGGGUGUCCAGUUCUCAGAAGAGAGCCAGAACUGGACAGGUUAGAGCACCUCUCAGAAGAGAGCCAGAACUGGACAGGUUAGAGCACCUUUCAGGAGAGAGCCAGAACUGGGCCAGUCAGGGUGUCCAGCUGCCAGAAGAGAGCUCGUGGUGGUGCCUGAAAAUAAUUGUGUGGUCUUGUUCCUAUCUAUGGCUUUCCAAGACCAGGAAUCAGACAGCCUGAUCAGAAUUUUGGUGCAGGGAGUUUUGUAUGGAUUUGGACAAUGAAGGUGUGGGACAGUGCAGGGAGCUUUCUGUGGAUUUGGAAGGUGUGUGGCCAGUCAGUGUCCAUGCAGGUGUUUCAUGUCUCACUUUUCCAUGCUUUCCCCAUGCAGAUGACCUUGCAGAUUUGAGGAUUUUCCAGGCUUGGAAAAUGGACCUUUCUCCAUUUGCUUUUUCAGCAUCCCAGAAGCCACUUUGAGUCACUGUAAAUCCAGGACAGGCUGAACAAUGCAGGGCUGAGGAGGUGCUGUUGGGACAGCCAGACAAUCCUGCCUGGAUUAACCACUGGCUGUCUCAGAAGCACUGUAGUUUUUCCCUCGGCACACACAGCUCAUGGACUAUGUGAAUCAAAUCACAUAAUUAGGCAGGUCUGCAGAGUUCCAUUACUCUGGUCACUGAGAAACUGAGUUAUCCUCCUGAUAUUUAUGGUAUCUCUUCCAAGCACAGUGGGAGAUGCUGGUGUAUGCGGCUGGAGGAUGGGAGUUGCAGGGUAAAUCUCAAGGCUGAGUGUGGUCCCUGCACCUGAUCAUUCAACCCCCAAACCAAUACUGUGAAAGGGAGUUCAGAACU
rnacentral:lncRNA from 1 species